rnacentral:rRNA from 2 species
GCUGGCGGCGUGCCUAAUACAUGCAAGUCGAACGCACUGACGUCGACCGAAGCUGCUUGCAGUGGACGUUGAUUGACGUGAGUGGCGGACGGGUGAGUAACACGUGGGUAACCUACCCUUAAGUGGGGGAUAACAUUUGGAAACAGAUGCUAAUACCGCAUAACCAUUCAGACCACAUGGUCUGAAUGUAAAAGACGGCCUUUGGCUGUCACUUUUGGACGGACCCGCGGCGUAUUAGUUAGUUGGUAAGGUAACGGCUUACCAAGACAAUGAUACGUAGCCGACCUGAGAGGGUAAUCGGCCACAUUGGGACUGAGACACGGCCCAAACUCCUACGGGAGGCAGCAGUAGGGAAUCUUCCACAAUGGACGAAAGUCUGAUGGAGCAACGCCGCGUGAGUGAAGAAGGUUUUAGGAUCGUAAAACUCUGUUGUUGGAGAAGAACAGGGACUAGAGUAACUGUUAGUCCUUUGACGGUAUCCAACCAGAAAGCCACGGCUAACUACGUGCCAGCAGCCGCGGUAAUACGUAGGUGGCAAGCGUUGUCCGGAUUUAUUGGGCGUAAAGCGAGCGCAGGCGGUUUUUUAAGUCUGAUGUGAAAGCCUUCGGCUUAACCGAAGAAGUGCAUUAGAAACUGGGAAACUUGAGUGCAGAAGAGGACAGUGGA